GGGGACGCGCAAUCGCCCAGGUUGACACUGGGAUUGGAGAGCAAGGCCGACAGUCAAUCGGCUGUCGCAAGUUGACUGUGCGCGGUUCGAAUCCCGCCGUCCCCA
rnacentral:tRNA from 1 species